rnacentral:lncRNA from 1 species
AAAUUUGUGCACAUGGAUAUUUGGACUGAAAAAUCAGUGCACCUGUGCCUACAAUCAGGCAGUAAAUGGUUCAGUGGUCGCAGUAAGCGCAGGGCUCUUUUGGGAGGCAAAUUGAAACUCUAUUUAAGCAAAGUGAUUCAGAAGGAGACGUUCAAUAUAGGCUUCCCCUGGGAACAUUUCCUCCUAAGGCAAGGAAACUGAGGCUCAAAGAAAUGAAAGAACAUGGCCAAGCCUGUGUACUAUGUCAGCAGAAGAGGGAUUUGAAUGCCAGAGGCAACGCUAUUUCAGUUCAUCUUACAACGCCUUAGAAGUAGAAGGAAAGAAAGGUUCAUGGGCAAAGUCUGGCCCUGCUAUGGACUCCACGCAGCUUUACAAACAUCUGAGAAGAAAACGUUCCAUUAUCAGUUGCCUGACUGUACUGAUCUCACAAAAUAAGCAGGAAAGGAUGUUGAGAAAUGAAGUGAACGCCUGUGACCAAAUCAUCAAAGAACUAGAAGAGGGAAACUCCAGGACACAAAUACAUGUAAUGAAAGUUUGAUGGCAACAUGAUGACAUAGAAAAGAGCCCUGAACUGAAGAGCUCUGAAGAGUCCAAGGGGAGGAAACCCAAGGAGUCUUUACAGUGUUACUGGCCCAAGGGUGUGUAUUUUUAUAGAGGAAAUAGUUCCAUAGUAAUUUUAUUGAGCAGAUACCUUUUCUAGUUUUCAAAAAAGUUCUUAUAAAAAUCUGUGGAAAAGUAUCAUUGUCUAUUUUUUUUUUUUUAAGAUGGAGUCUCACUCUGUCACCCAGGCUGGAGUGCAGUGGUGCAACCUUAGCUCACUGCAACCUCCACCUCCCGGGUUCAGGCAAUUCUCUGCCUCAGCCUCCCGAGUAGCUGGGAUUACAGGUGCCCGCCACCAAACUUGGCUAAUUUUUUGUAUUUUUUUUAGUAGAGAUGGCAUUUCACCAUCUUGGCCAGGCUGGUCUUGAACUCCUGAUCUCAUGAUCCAACCGCUUUGGCCUCUCAAAGUGCUGGGAUUACAGGCAUGAGCCACUGCACCCAGCCCAUUGUCUAUUUUUUAAUUAAAAAAACCUGACCAUCAAUGGAUGAAUGAAUUUUAAAAAGGUGCUCUAUAUGCCCAAUGGAAUACUUGAGUCUUAAAAGAGAAGGAAAUCCUGUCAUUUGCAACAUGUCGUCCACAACAUGGAUGAACCUGGAGGACAUUGUGCUGAGUGAAAUAAGGUAGGCACAGAAGGACAAAUGCCAUAUGAUCUCACUUAUAUGUGGAAUCUGAAAAAGUCAAACUCCUGGAAGCAGAGAGUUGAAUGGUGGUUAUCAGAGGCUGGGGUUAUGGGAAAUGUUGGUCACAGGGCAUGAACUUUUAAUUUUUUGACAGGAGGAAUAAAUGUUUUGAGAUAUACUCCACAGCAUGAUGACUAUAGUUAAUAAUAAUGUACCUUUCAGAAUUGCUAAGAGUAAAUUUCAAAUGUUCUCAUCACAAAAAGUGAUAAGUAUUUGAGGUGAUGGAUAGUAAAUUAGAUUUAUUUAAUAAUUCUGCAUAUUAUACAUAUAUCACAACAUUACUUUGUACCCCAU